rnacentral:rRNA from 1 species
UACGUAGGAUGCAAGCGUUGUCCGGAAUUAUUGGGCGUAAAGAGCGCGCAGGCGGUUUGCCAAGUCAGAUGUGAAAGAGGCCGGCUUAACCGGCAAGGGUCAUUUGAAACUGACAGACUAGAGUGCAGCGGAGGAUAGCGGAAUUCCCGGUGUAGUGGUGAAAUGCGUAGAUAUCGGGAGGAACACCAGUGGCGAAGGCGGCUAUCUGGGCUGCAACUGACGCUGAGGCGCGAAGGCUAGGGUAGCAAACAGG